CUCGGCCUACAGCGACCCCGUGCGGCUGCGUGAAGCCGGAUCUGGAGACAGGAUUUUGUUUGUUUUUCACAAAAAUGGUCAUUUGAGCUGUAAGGCAAAAGUGCAGCCUCCUAGGCUGAACGGUGCAAAGACUGGAGUUUUUUCCACAAGGAGCCCUCAUCGUCCCAAUGCAAUAGGACUGACCCUGGCCAAGCUGGAAAAGGUAGAAGCCUUGGGGAAAUGGACAGACAUCAUGGCUGCAGUGCUGAUGUCAACUGUGCUGUGUGGCAGGAGUCUGGGAUGAAUCACACUACAAGGACAAACAUUAGUCAGGUGGAGCUAUAUACCUUUCUGGAAUUGACAUGAUACAUGGCACACCCGUACUAGACAUCAAGCCCUACAUAGCUGAGUAUGACUCACCGCAAAAUGUGAUGGAGCCUUUAGCAG
rnacentral:sRNA from 1 species